rnacentral:rRNA from 1 species
AUUGAACGCUGGCGGCAGGCCUAACACAUGCAAGUCGAGCGGAGCGGCGGUCGGGUGAGGAAUGCCUAGGAAUAUGCCUGGUCGUGGGGGAUAACGUCCGGAAACGGGCGCUAAUCCCGCAUACUAUCCGCUGAGCCUCGGUCGGAUUGGCUAGUGGGUGGGGUAAAGGCCUACCAAGGCCAAGAUCCGUAACUGGUCUGAGAGGAUGAUCAGUCACACUGGAACUGAGACACGGUCCAGACGCCUACGUGAGGCAGCAGUGGGGAAUAUUGGACAAUGGGCGAAAGCCUGAUCCAGCAAUGCCGCGUGUGUGAAGAAGGUCUUCGGAUUGUAAAGCUCUGUAAGUGGGGAGGCGGUACCAACAGAAUAAGCACCGGCUAACUACGUGCCAGCAGCCGCGGUAAUUC